CCUAUUUUAUUUUAUGGAGAUCAUCUGAAGGUAUCACUGAAUAUGCUUCAAUUAUUCUCAGCCUACAAGGAAGAGAAAAAGCACACAAGACAAGAAGCCAGCAAAACAGUCACCUGAGAAUCUUCACCAAGAAACUGAAAGAAACAGCUAAACAUUAGGCAGGAUUGGGAGGAAGGAUUGGAAGAUCUAGAAAGAUCAAGGACACCAUGAGAAAACCUACAAUAUCAACUACCAUGAGCCCAUAGAAGCUAACAGAUACUGAACCACCAACCAGUGAUCAUCCAUGGUAUUUCAAGAGAAAGCCUUGUUGAACUUAAUAAAAACAUUAAAAACUACAAGAAAAACAGAGAAGGAAAGACAAAAUGAAAGCUCAGAGAAAAGGAUUCCAAAUCUACAUGAAAAUUUUUAAAUGGAUAAAGACUUUUAACAAGGGAAGGCUGCAGAGUGCAAAUAGUUCCUAGUACAAAACUAUUGCAGUGAAGCAGAAACACCUUGGUAUUUAUUGACAUUAUUGACUUUAAUAUCUCUUCAUUUGUGACACCAUUUGGGACUGACUGACCGGUAAUAUUCAGGAUUAACACCAAACAAGUCGUUUUUUAAUAAAAAAAAAUAUUGGCAGAUCUUUUAUCAUAAUUACU